GGGAGUGUGGCCGAGUGGUUAAGGCGCCAGCUUCAGGAAAUCAUUCAUUGGAAUUUAAUUACUAGAAGUUGCUGGUAACGCAAGUUGCGUGGGUUCGAACCCCACCGCUCUCA
rfam:Nadsonia fulvescens var. elongata DSM 6958 unplaced genomic scaffold NADFTscaffold_9, whole genome shotgun sequence.